CGGGAGCAGGCUCAGGAGCCGGUUCCGGAGCGGGAACCGCUUCAGGGGCCUUUUCCUCCUUCUUGGCUGGUUCCUUCUUUGCUGCCUUCUUGAUCGGGGCAGGUUUGGCCGGCAUGUUGGCAGCUAAUUCCCAGUUCCACGUUUAAUCCAGAUACUGAUGGCCUGGCAGCCUGUCCAGGGUGUCUCCCCGCCUGCCGCCCAAUGACUGUGGGAUAGGCUUCAGCAUCCCCGCGACCCUGAGAGCAGGAUAAGCGGUUUGGAUAAUGGAUGGAUGGAUGCCGGAUUUAUAUGGCAGAAGUGGGGAUCUGACUCCAUGGCACUCGGUGGUGUCUCCUGGUGCUUCUCCUCACUGGGCUGACCAGGGCUACCAGAAGAUAUGCUGGGAGGAGGCAGGUGGAACAACUUGGCCUGGUCUUGCUGGGCAGACGGCCAAGGCAGCGUACCCCGCACCCACUCCACUGGGUCUUCCCACACCGCCUUCUGGCCAUGAACCUGAGGCCAUAUAACAUAUCAUAAUAAUAACCCCGAACUGGAGGAACACUGUUAGUAUUUGCUGAGGAGCAUACAAAGCGAGGUGUGAAGAGCCGUUUCUUUGUUCAACAACCAAGUGACUAAUGCUUAAAGACCCUGACCAGCGAAAGUCAAGGAAAAAAAAAACUUUCUAAGGCAAAGUGGCCACUUCAUGUAUGAUAAAACACAAACAUGUAUGAUUUAAAAAUUCACAUUUCAUAAAUAAUGUGAUAUUUUGGUAAUGUUGCCAACAUCAAUUUUCCCCAAUCCUGAGUGAAAGGCUGUUACGAAGCCAUCACAAGAAAGUUGAGGCUUGAACAUUCUUACUCAAUCUGAGUCUCAGGCCGAGGUGAGAGUCUCCAUAGACAUUCUCUUAGAAAUUACAUGAUUAGAAGAAGACAGCCAAACCAUUGUAUGGCGGCCUCUCUAACCACUACCUAAACUUAACUCUAAACUUGACCACUGUUACCAGAGCAGCUGCACAUACAAUACAAAAAUCGACUUUUGUGUACUUUCUGCACAACAAUUUUCAAGUCAUCUUGAGCAGUUGCUGCUUGUUGAGAAUGUGAAUCAGCGGUCCUAACCGGUCAAGUGGUUUCAGACAAUAUACAAAUGACAUAAAGCACAAAACAAAAAACAAAAAACAGGGAGGGACAAGGUGAAAUAAGC